rnacentral:tRNA from 1 species
GGAGAGGUCGCAUAGUGGUCUAGUGCGCUGGUCUCGAAAACCGGUAACCCCGCAAGGGGUUCGAGGGUUCGAAUCCCUCCCUCUCCGCCA